UUGUCGUUUCAUAGAUUAGGUUUUCAUUGUUCUCAUUCUUCAACCCUUCAACGCCAUGAAUCUCUGUUAAUUUUCACAAGUCUGCAAAACACGUUUCUUUCUCAACUCUUAACCUCCCAACUUUGUUCAUAUACAUAUUUUCGUUUGGGUUUGUUCAACGUAUUCCUCUUUAAUUUGACAAUGAAUUUUUCUUUCCCAUUAAUGAUCUCCAACUCUCCGUCUCCCUUCUCAGACAAUGAAAACCGUAAAUUCACCUCUCAAAUUCUAUAAAUUAGAGAUGGUUGGGUUGAGAGUAGGAUGAAUCUACACAGAUUCUCUCAGUUUAUCUUCUACCUCAAACCAAGCACCCGUCCACCACUCAACCUUUGAUCCUUUAAUGCUCUCCGACUCAGCAGAUCUUCUCAGCUCGGGUAAUCGUUUUAGGACUCUCGAAACAUCAAGAAGAACGGUGAAUUCAUGGGAAUCACUUUACUUCUCUUCAUCUUAUUAGGCUAAGAAGAUCAUAUAUUCCCAUCUCUGUUUCAUUUUUGAAAAAGCCAUAUUAUUUAACUCUUCUAGCUUUCAACGUAGGAUACAGUGAUCCGGCGGCUGAGCCACGUCCCGGUGGUGCUCGCGAUCCCACCAGAAUUGCAGACCUGAGAGUUGUUGGUGUUGGAGAAGAGAAGUGUCGCUAACCUCUUCGUAAGGCCAUAGCUCUCUAGGAUCGUUGGAGGAGUUGUGGGAAUCAACAGAUCUGCUCAGUAAUAGUAUAAGGUGUCGGUUGUUUAUGUGAUCUGUGGAGCAUUGUGUUGCAGAGAGAGAGCUUCUCCGAAUGGUGAGGCUGCAGCAGAAAGCAGUGACGUUGAGAAAAAAGCAUAAUUGAUGUGGCUUCAACUUUGGAACCUGAGGAAGCAGACAAUGGAGUAGGCUACAGUACUCUGGUCAACCAACAAAGGAGUAUAUCGACUAUGCAGUUAAAAAUGUUCUGUUAUACAUGGUUUGCUUGGAAUCAAGGUUAAGGUCAUGCUUGACUGGGACUCUAUUAGGAAGCUAGGACCAAUGACACCAUUACCAGAUGUUGUUAUCAUCCAUACUCCCAAAUGAAAAGAUGUUAAUUCCGCACCUGAUCAGGUUGUUAAUUUUGCUGCUCUUCUAUUGGAAGCUCCCCUCACCCUCACAGCCGUAGAUUACCCUGAGAUGAUCUCAGUCGUCUAGAAGAGAUGGCCAGGAAAGCCUCAUGUUCUUCAUAAAAGUAACCUUUCUAAUGGAGAGAACUUACUCUAUAUGUUGGAUUCAAUAUUGUCAUCACUCUUGAGAUAUAUGCUGAGAAGAGUGCUAAUGGAUGGGCGAGUCUGAUGGUGAGGGCCACUGAGUUGAGCAUUCCAGCAAAGCGGAAAACUCCUCCCUUGGUAUCUAUUUGCGCAAAGCAAGUGGAAAGAGUCACAAAAGUUGCUCAAAACCAGGAGAUUAUAAAGUCACAAGUGGUGGUUAGAGUUUAUUUUUUUCUUUUUACAGUUGUGAUCUGUGGGAUCAUUAUGAUUCACCCUGCUGGGCUGAGGGAGAAGCUAUCUUCAGACAUGUGAUUUGUUAUCUCUUAAAUUUAGCCAUUAUAGAGAGGUAGGGUGAGACCUUUACAGAUGUUAUGAAAGUAUUUAUGAUUGUUGUUUUAUACAUUUUGCAGAUUGUCAUCACUCUUGAGAUAUAUGUUAUUGAGUAUAUUGUUUGGAUUC